rnacentral:misc_RNA from 1 species
GAUGAAGAACGCAGCGAAAUGCGAUACGUAAUGUGAAUUGCAGAAUUCAGUGAAUCAUCGAAUCUUUGAACGCAUAUUGCGCUCUCUGGUAUUCCGGAGAGCAUGCUUGUUUGAGUAUCAGUAAACACCUCAACUCCCCUUUCUUUUUUUGAAAUGGGAGCUGGACUUGAGUGAUCCCAACGCUUUUCUCACCGAAAAGUGGCGGGUUACUUGAAAUGCAGGUGCAGCUGGACUUUUCUCUGAGCUAAAAGCAUAUCUAUUUAGUCUGCCUAAAAAACAGAUUAUUACCUUUGCUGCAGCUAACAUAAAGGAGAUUAGUUCUUGUGCUGACUGAUGCAGGAUUCACAGAGACAGCUUCGGCUGGCAUUUGUAAACUCGAUCUCAAAUCAAGUAAGACUACCCGCUGAACUUAAGCAUAUCAAUAAGCGGAGGA